UGGAAUAUUCGUGAGGACAAAGCGGUACAGAUUUUUAGCGGCUAAUUGAUUGUAUUAAUUAACUGUGCACUUAAUGUAUGUUCGGAGGGGAUUUUAACACCUUCCAAAACUAUUAACAUUUCUUAACACUCUGUCAUGUUUAACGGGCGGACUUGUUUGCCUUUUGGAGUUGGUUAGCACUCCAAGUGCGAUAUUUAACAUCUUGCUACUGUACCAUUGUCGUCAAGUUAUAUUCAAAAGUUUGACUCUGUUUGUUAGAUCUUUCAUACACCUUUUCACUUUACAUCUGUAAAACUAGCAUAGAAUGGCUACAAAAUGGUUUGAUGGAGAAUGAUAUGUCAUAUGAAUAAGAAAGCAGUAUCAUUUUUAUCUAAAAGUGUUGCUUCUUGCAGGUAUGAAGAACUAACUCUACCAGGGAACAUCAUGGAUAUGGAGAUGGAGCACCCAUGCUUUUCAUACAUAUAGAUACUGAUACUGUCAGGUUCCGGGGAAGGUAAUCAUUGUCAGUGUGCAAUCUAGAAGUUGAAACUGUGAUUGAAUACAUAGUAAGGGCUUCUGCAUCAUAGUUACUAUGACUUACCACAUGGAUUGGCUUUCCUGUCUCCUAGCUUCUGUCUGAACUUCUUGCACUCAUCUUGACAAGGAUUUGGAUGAACGGUAUGUCAAUGUCAACCUAGAUGAUGUUGACUUCUUCUGCAUUGAGCAUCGUCAUCAAGGUAUUUUUUUCCUGCACACAGAAAUUAAAAUGUGUAGUGAUGGAUGAAAAUGGAACUUAAUUUAAAAUUUUGUUAGCUUGAAAGACACUUCUAUGCACAAAUAGUUUCUACCGGCGACCUCCACAAGUGAAGCACAAACCUUGGUUAAUAUGAUAAUAAACUAUUGGCGGACGGAAACUAAUAGCUGGAAUUUGUUGGAACCAGAAACUUCAACUUGUAAUGUACUUUCACCAUCAACUGUUAAGCCAUUGAUUGUUUAGUAUUUAUGCCCGAGCAUUAGGUUUGUGUAGAUUAUAUCGUUAGGUAUAAUUUUGGCUUACAAACAUGCUUUGAACUGAGAUGUGGCCAUCUACCUGCAGCUCCAAGAUCCAUAUAGCUCACAGGUUAGAAGAAAUAAGAUCGACCUUCUGCAAAAAAGAACAUGAAUUGUGCUAAGUUGCGAUGAUGUUGAUGGGAGAAAUUAUUCAUGACAAGUAUCUCGUAAUUACAAGUUUUUCUUAGACUGUUGUGUUACAUGUCUGUAAUGUGAUAUGUUGAGAUAUCGCAAUCGUGGGUUGCUAUAUUUUCACGUGGAAGGUUAUCUGACGAAGCUCUAUGCUUCAUGUAUGCAAGCUUUCCACCAGUAUUAGUUUUAUGUAUAUUCAAGUGUUGCACCAACUAUUAUGCUCUCUUGCAUUUAUCCAAUUGAUAAGAACUUUAUGUUGGGUAUUGUCAAUACAAUGCUCU
rnacentral:lncRNA from 1 species